rnacentral:rRNA from 1 species
GAUCCUGGCUCAGGAUGAACGCUGGCGGCGUGCUUAACACAUGCAAGUCGAACGGAGUGCUCAUGACAGAGGAUUCGUCCAAUGGAGUGAGUUACUUAGUGGCGGACGGGUGAGUAACGCGUGAGUAACCUGCCUUGGAGUGGGGAAUAACAGGUGGAAACAUCUGCUAAUACCGCAUGAUGCAGUUGGGUCGCAUGGCUCUGACUGCCAAAGAUUUAUCGCU